AGAAUCAACGCUGGCGGCGUGCCUAACACAUGCAAGUCGAACGAGAAAGUGGUAGCAAUACCAUGAGUAAAGUGGCGCACGGGUGAGUAACACGUGACUAACCUACCCUGGAGUGGGGGAUAACUGGGAGAAAUCCUAGCUAAUACCGCAUAAUACCUACGGGUCAAAGGAGCAAUUCGCUUCAGGAGGGGGUCGCGGCCGAUUAGUUAGUUGGCGGGGUAAUGGCCCACCAAGACGAUGAUCGGUAUCCGGCCUGAGAGGGCGCACGGACACACUGGAACUGAAACACGGUCCAGACUCCUACGGGAGGCAGCAGUGGGGAAUUUUGCGCAAUGGGGGAAACCCUGACGCAGCAACGCCGCGUGGAGGAUGAAGUCCCUCGGGACGUAAACUCCUUUCGAUCGGGACGAUUAUGACGGUACCGGAAGAAGAAGCCCCGGCUAACUUCGCGCCAGCAGCCGC
rnacentral:rRNA from 1 species